rnacentral:misc_RNA from 1 species
ACAGAUUUUUAAAAGAAAAAGGUGCAAGAUCAUUUAAGAAGGCAUGUAAAAUGAUUCUUGAAGUGAAUACAGAGAUUGUUAAGCCGACAGAAGUGAGGGGAGAUGAAAGCACAUCUGUAUUGUUUACUGCAAGUAAGUUAGCCAAAGAGCUGAAAAAAUUGGAAGGACGGAAAUGGAAGAUACUGAGCAGUGUGUGGGUGGAGAUGAUGUCGUAUGCUGCAAAUCAUUGCACUGCAACUUCCCAUGUGAAACAAUUAACCAAAGGUGGAGAGCUUGUUACUUUUGUUUGGCUAUUGAUGGUUCAUUUUGGCAUUGGAAAUCAGUUCCAAAGUAACGUUAGCUUACUACGUUAAGGACAAACUAAUCAUCAUCGAGUUUUAUCACUACCCUUGCAUUAGUAUUGAUUUAUCUAUCGCAAUAUAAGAGCCAAAGAACAGGUUCAAACUUUCGCAAUCUACCUCUUUG